rnacentral:rRNA from 1 species
GAUGAACGUUUGCGGCGUGUCUUAGGCAUGCAAGUCGAACGAACGUGCGUAGCAAUACGUAUGUGAGUGGCAAACGGGUGCGUAACACAUUGGCAACCUGCCCCAAAGUUCGGAACAACUCCUCGAAAGGGGAGCUAAUACCGGAUGUGAUUCCGGUCCGCAAGGAUCGGAAGGAACGGCGCAAGCCGCUUUGGGAGGGGCCUAUGGUCCAUCAGCUUGUUGGUAGGGUAACGGCCUACCAAGGCUCCGACGGAUAGCGGGUGUGAGAGCACGACCCGCCUCACUGGGACUGAGACACUGCCCAGACUCCUACGGGAGGCUGCAGUCGAGAAUCUUCCCCAAUGGCCGAAAGGCUGAGGGAGCGACGCCGCGUGCAGGAAGAAGCCCUUCGGGGUGUAAACUGCUUUUCUUCGGGAACAACUCUGAGUGUACCGAAGGAAUAAGGGGCUGCUAACUUCGUGCCAGCAGCAGCGGUAAUACGAAGGCCCCGAGCGUUAUCCGGAUUUAUUGGGCGUAAAGCGUUAAAAGGUGGCUUGGUAAGUAUCUCGUCAAAUCCUGGGGCUCAACCCCAGGGCCGCGGGGUAAACUGCCUGGCUUGAGGGCGGAAGAGGCAAGCGGAACUACCGGUGUAGUGGUAAAAUGCGUUCAUAUCGGUAGGAACACCAAAGGCGAAGGCAGCUUGCUGGUACGAUCCUGACACUAAAUAACGAAAGCGUGGGGAGCGAAUGGGAUUAGAUACCCCAGUAGUCCACGCCCUAAACGAUGUCAGCUGGGGGUUGGGCGUCUCGCUGUUCUCUAUCGAAGUCAACGUGUGACGUUGAGCGCUUGGGGAGUGCGGCCCCACGGCUGGGAUUCAAAUGAAUGGACGGGGCGCGGCACAACCCGUGCGGGGGGUCGUGUAAUUCGAUUCGACGCCAAACGCGUUACCUUCCCAGGUCUUGUCAAGAGUUCGCCAGAGACGGGGAACUGCUGGAACGUGAGCGGGAACCCCGCAGGUGCAGCACGGUCGUCAUCUGGUGUCGGCAGGAGUUGGGGUAAUUAGUGCUAUGAGGACCGCCCUCCCCGUUGGGUGUUAAGCUAGUCCCUUGUGAUGACCGGCCCUGAGCCGGACCGGGGGAGGGAGGGGGUCAAGUCAGCUCGUCCUUGCCCUGACGGGGAGGGCUCCCCUGGUCCUACGGAGUGCGGCACAGGGGGCUCACAGCCCGAGCGGGGGACACUCUCCCCGAACCCCUCUUCUGUUCGGGUUGGGGGUUGCCACUUGGCCUGGGGGAGCUGGGAUUGGUUGUUACCGGGCGUCAACCAUGGCGCGGUGAAUACGUUCUCGGGUUU